rnacentral:snRNA from 1 species
GGAUGUAAGGGUGAUCUAGCUGUGACAUGUCACCCCAUUGAUAACCAGGGUUGAUUUGGCUGAUGUAGCUGGCUAGGCGGGUGCCCAUUCCUCCCUCACUACUCCAUGUGGGUCCCUCCCAAAGUUGCGUGGUCUGGCCAAGAGGAUGACCUUGCUGGAUAGAGGAAGACCAUUCUUUGGUCAAGGGCAUAUGAGUAGCUUCACUCUCCUGCUAGAACCUAAGUGUGCUCUCAAGGUCCACUUCUGGUGAUUGUAAGGUAGUCAACUUCCAAGACUUCACACAUAUCCAAAUGAGGCACUGCAUGUGGUAGUCUGCCAUUCUUU